UUGGGGCACACAUCGUCGGCCUGCACUGCCGCCUUCGCAGACCCACGUUUCUCUCCCCGCUUUGUCUGGUUUCCUCUAGAAAAAAGAAACAAUUCAUCUACACCUCGGACUAGAUUCGUUUGGGAGCCGGAGAUUUGCAACAAAAAAGGGAGCUGGAGAGGAUAAGUUGAAAUCGGCGGCACCGCCGCCGCCGCUACGGGGCACAAGCAUGGAGGCGGUUGGGAUAGUGUGGUGCCGCCACCGCUACGGGGCACGAGCACGGAGGCGGCUGGGAUAGUGUGGUUAGGGAGUUGGGAGAGGAACAGGGGGAGACGAUGGCGGCCUGAGCGGGCGGCGCUGGGCGCCAUGGGGUUCAACAUCUCGCCGGCCUUGACUCGCGCACGUCCCGUUCCGCUCAGGGCACAUCCUGCCUCAGCAGCCACACCUCUCCCUCCAAGCACAGAGCUUGCUGCCCCCACCCCCAUACAAUGAACGAGCAUGCCAAGGAGAGGAGCUCCAUGCGUAUGGGAGGCCAGCCGCUCCCCAAUCUUCAGAUCUGACCAACGUGGGAGGAAUUGUUGGAGCACAACCAAAUCCAAACGCCUCACCGGUGAGCACCAUCAUUGCCUGAAGCUUGGAGAGUAUUACUAAUUGCUUGCUAUUCAUUAUUGCCUGAAGCGAGAGAACAGUUUAGUUAUUUCUCCGGUAAUUGAUAGUUGUUAUAUUAUAUACUUGUGUUUUCUUUACUGUAGAGACCACUGAUUAUUCACCCAUUGAUUAUUCACCCAGAGUAUAAUGUUUGUGACUAACACCUAUUUAUCAAUACAUGGGAUGACCAUGUCGUGGGUGAAGAAGUUUGCAAUGGAUCAACCUUGAAGACACUUGGAACAUUUACUUCGAGUGAAGACUCUCGCGUGCAAUUGCCACUGCCCCGACCUGGCCGAUUGUUGACCUCGAUGGCUUGACAGCGUCCUUUGUGAUUCUGAACAUAUGUGCUACUCUCCUGGACACCGCCGACUCAGGUCCUACUCUCCUGGACGCCGCCGACUCAGGUUAUAUCUACAUGUAGCGUUGGAGAAUACUACGUGGACAACGGUGGCACUAAGGCCUGCAGUAGCGAGUGGAGAGCGCCCAGGCCGAGCUCCCCAAUGUUCAUGUCGUACAGGAGCUAAUCCAUGCUGAGUGGGCCAUAUCGGUCUUUGUCUGCACGCAUUAUUAUGUCCUCUUCUUAUCUCCCCCGCUUGUGCCAUCGGAGAAUAUCAAGGAUGUGGCAUCGGCACUGAGCCGCCACUGGUAGGCAAGGGCAUGUGGCCUGGUCGUCAACGAUGAGAUUGGGGUCGGCACAUACCAAAGCGACACACAGAGGCAGAGUUCUAUAAAAGUAAGGAAUCCAUCUAAUUCUACUUGAGAACCUUCCAACACGAGGUAACAUCAUUUGUGGCAUGGGUAUAUCUUAUAUCUACUAAAUAUCACUUCUAGAUAUUGGCGUUACGUACCAAGUGUAUACAUCUAUAUUGCCAGUGAUUUUGCGCUUUUGAUAAUUAGUCAAUAUUUUCAUGUAUUUGUUACAACAGUAUGGUGUUAGCAAGCGUAUUGUCUUGUGAAAAAUUGGUGAUUGCAUAUGCACUUCGUAUCUAAUUGUGUUUUUUCUGAGCUAAUAUUUUUACUAAUUAUUCUAUUCUUUCCACUUCUUGUAUAAACAGACCAGGACCAGUAUUCUGAACCUCAUACCAUUAAGGUAAUCAGCUAUUUUUUUAUAGAUGCACUAACUGAUUGCUAAUUUCAGCUUUGUUCUUCAUUACUGCAGGGCAUAUCUGUAUUCUAAGGAAAAUUAGUACACUUGGUAAUUCUUUCUUGACAUGGCUAUUCCAUCGAGGUUUAAUUCUAUGAUACACAACUAAUAGUUUGUUGGUAUGCAUAACUAUCUUGCCAAAGGUUUUGCCUGUGUAUAUCACUUCGUAGUUGAAAGUGUUUGAUGCAAUCAUUAUGAGCAUCAUGUUUGCCUUUUUGUGGAAAAUUAGUGUAGAACUCUUCUUGCUACUACCAUCAACUCUCAACAAGUCAGUGAUGGACAGGAUUAUCAUUCAUGUACUUGAACAGUUGAUUCAGGGUCUAUUCAUAAAUGUGUUAAUUUGUUUUUGUAUGACUCCUUUCUUCCAUCAAUGUUUUUACAUCCAAAUGAACUACACUAUUCUUAUACAGUCAAAUUAGAAUAUUUUGAUUUUUUUGAUGAUCACUUAAGGGUGUGUUUGGUUCGGGGACGAAGUGUAAUGGAAUGUCAUGGUUCCAUUCCAGUGUAAUGGGUUGGUUCCGUCCUUGUGUUUGGUGUGGGUAAAUUGAGGGAAUGGAAUGGUUACAUUUUGGUGUUUGGUUUGACAGAUGGAAUGGAAUGGAUUUGUAAGUGAUCAUCAAUUCAUCUAUGCAACAAAGCCAGGUAAACAUUGAAUUGGAUUUUGAAACAGGGGUUUGAGCAUCAACUAAUCGGAUUGAAGCAUUUUUUCUUUGAGCAUUGAUGAAUUGAAUCCAUGCGACAAACAACGGUGUGAGCUAUUAAUCUGACUCAAUCACAAGACAAACAGUAGCUACAAGAAAAGAAGCUAAAGCUGAGCGUGGCGGCCGGUUGGAUGCGAGGCUUGGCCUUGGCGUUCCCACGCGCGACCGCGACUCCGAGCGGCGCGUUCUCAGGUGCGGUCAACGGCCGGCGUUUGGAGCGGCUGCUCCGUCAAGCACGGCGGCUCGGCGCUUCCCGGCAUGUGCCGCCAUUGUUGCCCUGCGGCAAGACCUCCACUGGCGAAAGAAGGCGUAGCAGAUCAAAGGAAGAUGGCCGGCGGCACAGAUAGGAGGUGGAGGGCCGGCAGCGCACAUCGCGGGCGGGGGAGAGACGAGGGAGAAUAGCCGCACAGAGGAUAGGGUUCGAGAGCGAGAGAAGCGAGCAGAGGCCGUUCCGCGUCGUUCCUCCGAUUUGGAGGUACGAGUGGAUUUCGGAUCUGGGCCGAAUAUUCGGUUUGCGAGCAUGAGCCCGUUCCGGUUCCAGUUGUCUACCAAACGCACGAACGAGGCCCAGGAACAGGUUGGACCCGUUCCAUUCCAGUCCAUUACCGAAACCAAACACACCCUAAAUAAAUGAAUAUCCACGGUUAUCAAGGAGGGAGGGAGAGGGGGAGGGAAAGGGAGAUGGAGAGAUAGAGAGAGAGCGCAUUUAAUAUUUGAUAGCUUCCUUUACUAAAUCACCUAUCUCAUGGAGCUGCAGUUUUGGAUGUUUAAAAUGAAUGAGUAGGUAAAGAUUAGCGACAUUUUCUUACAAGCACCUGCAAUAUUUGCAUAAAAUGCUUUCCUAGGGCUGGUCAACUCUUUUUAUUUCUGUCAUAGUACACAUGUCUAUCACCACAAAUUGCCAUAUGUUUUUCAACGGUACAUGAGCUGUGAGUUGCCCUAUUAUUUUAAGAGUUCAUAAGUUGGGUUGACUGUGAGACUCUAAAUACAUGAUACAUGGUCUUGUACAAUUUAUAUUACUGUCCAUCGAAGUGUUUUAUACUCGUUAUUAUAUUAACAUAAAUAUUUUUGUGAUUAAAGUUGCAGGUUAUUACUUUGAAUGAUCUAAGAAAUAUAUUUGGAUUAGGGAAGCGUGAAGCACAAGCAAUCACCUCAGAUAUCGAAUCUCGAGCAUACAGAAAUAAGCUUAUAAAAUCCUUUAGUACUGACUUGGCUGCUGCUCCUAACAAAGCAUCAUUCCUCCAAAAUCUCUGUCAAGAGUUACAGUUUGAUCCUGAACUUGCUAGCAAGAUGCAUAAAGAUACCAAGCUGACACUUGUUUUUUGUAUUGCAUCAUUAAUUUUACAACAUAGUUCUAUGUUAGCUCAAAAUUUGAUCUUGCUCCUGCUAGCAAGAUGUGUACCAUAUUAGCUACAGUUUGAAGGAUAUAAUCCUUUUGUUUCAAGACUAAUGG